ensembl:rRNA 5S_rRNA 5S ribosomal RNA
GUCUAUGGCCAUACCACUCUGAAUGUGCCUGAUCUCGGAAGCUAAGCAGGGUCGGGCCUGGUUAGUACUUGGAUGGGAGACAAAUAUUCAAUAGUUUAAAUUGUAGUUU